rnacentral:rRNA from 1 species
AGAAUCAACGCUGGCGGCGUGCCUAACACAUGCAAGUCGAACGAGAAAGUGGAGCAAUCCAUGAGUAAAGUGGCGCACGGGUGAGUAACACGUGACUAACCUACCCUUGAGUGGGGGAUAACCUAGAGAGAUCUGGGCUAAUACCGCAUAAUACCUUCGGGUCAAAGGAGCAAUUCGCUUAAGGAGGGGUCGCGGCCGAUUAGUUAGUUGCGGGGUAAUGGCCCACCAAGACUGUGAUCGGUA